rnacentral:lncRNA from 1 species
GAGCUUUUUGCUUUAAAAUUUCAUCAAAAACGAAGGGCAAAAAUAAAAAAAAAAAAAACAAAGAUAUAUAGAAUAUAAAACAUAUUGCAUAAGUUAUAGAUUGAUGUAGUCUUUCAGAAUAUAACAUGCAUAGAAUUUUGUUGAAUUUAAUAAGGCACUUGUAAUUUUAUAGAUACAAACCAAAUAAGAGAAAUUAUGAUUUUCGUCGAGAGAAGAGAGAAUUUAAUUCCCCCAAGAGCGGAUUUCCAUCUUCUCAUUGUGUCUGUUCCAUAACUGAAUUUAUUUAAUCCACUUGUGUAGAAGCGAUGGCUUUCAAGAAUCACUCAUCACCAAACUUGUCAUUCUUAAUAAGGAAAUGUUAUUCACCGGACCAUUUGUUUAGCUUUAUAAACAAUCUAAUUACUUGUCAUUUUGUAUUGGUUUAUCAUAAUCCAAAGGAAAAUCUAAACACCAACGUAAUUGGGGAAAUUAUUCUAAUUAUCCUGUUUGCUUUAUGUGUUAGUGAUCGUGUGCAGCAUUCAUAAUUUGAUAUUGCGAU